rnacentral:rRNA from 1 species
AUAUUAGUCAGCGGAGGAAAAGAAAUCAACUGAGAUUCCCCAAGUAGCUGCGAGCGAACGGGGAUUAGCCCGAGACCGAAUCCCCUUGCCCUCGCGGCACCGGGACCUGUAGUCUAUGGAGGGCUCCGCUCCGGGGAAUCCUGCAAAUCUCGAGAUGACCUCUCGGGGCACAGGGCGUUACACGCGACCUGGCAGGACGAACCGAUUCGGGGCUUUUCCGCGAGUAGGUUAGCUUGAAAGUGCUAGCUGAAUACGGGUGGUGCUGGCCAUCCAAGGCUAAAUAUCACAGUGUGGAGACCGAUAGCGCACAAGUA